rnacentral:rRNA from 1 species
GAUGAACGCUGGCGGCGUGCCUCAAACAUGCAAGUCGAGCGGGGCUAUGUAAUAUCGCAAGGUAGAACAUAGCCUAGCGGCGAACGGGUGAGUAACACGUGGGUAACCUGCCUGGAAGACAGGGAUAACGAUUCGAAAGGGUCGCUAAUACCUGAUAAUAUCCUUUCAUCGCAUGGUGAUAGGAAGAAAGGGGAAACCCGCUUUCAGAUGGGCCCGCGUCCCAUCAGCUAGUUGGUAAGGUAAAGGCUUACCAAGGCGACGACGGGUAGCCGGUCUGAGAGGAUGUACGGCCACACUGGGACUGAGAUGCGGCCCAGACUCCUACGGGAGGCAGCAGUUGGGAAUCUUAGGCAAUGGACGAAAGUCUGACCUAGCGACGCCGCGUGAGGGAAGAAGGCCUUCGGGUUGUAAACCUCUGUCAUGGGGAAGAAGUAAGUGACGGUACCCAAGAGGAAGCCCCUGCUAACUACGUGCCAGCAGCCGCGGUAAAAGUACUACUAU